GUAGUCAUAUGCUUGUCUCAAAGAUUAAGCCAUGCAUGUCUAAGUAUAAGCAAUCUAUACGGUGAAACUGCGAAUGGCUCAUUAAAUCAGUUAUCGUUUAUUUGAUAGUACCUUACUACUUGGAUAACCGUGGUGAUACUAGAGCUAAUACAUGCUAAAAACCCCGACUCCGGGAGGGGUGUAUUUAUUAGAUAAAAAACCAAUGCCUUCGGGCUUGUUGGUGAAUCAUAAUAACUUAACGAAUCGCAUGGCCUUGCGCCGGCGAUGGUUCAUUCAAAUUUCUGCCCUAUCAACUUUCGAUGGUAGGAUAGUGGCCUACCAUGGUUUCAACGGGUAACGGGGAAUA
rnacentral:rRNA from 1 species